GAUGAACGCUGGCGGCGUGCCUAAUACAUGCAAGUCGAGCGAAUGGAUUAAGAGCUUGCUCUUAUGAAGUUAGCGGCGGACGGGUGAGUAACACGUGGGUAACCUGCCCAUAAGACUGGGAUAACUCCGGGAAACCGGGGCUAAUACCGGAUAACAUUUUGAACCGCAUGGUUCGAAAUUGAAAGGCGGCUUCGGCUGUCACUUAUGGAUGGACCCGCGUCGCAUUAGCUAGUCGGUGAGGUAACGGCUCACCAAGGCAACGAUGCGUAGCCGACCUGAGAGGGUGAUCGGCCACACUGGGACUGAGACACGGCCCAGACUCCUACGGGAGGCAGCAGUAGGGAACCUUCCGCAAUGGACGAAAGUCUGACGGAGCAACGCCGCGUGAGUGAUGAAGGCUUUCGGGUCGUAAAACUCUGUUAUUAGGGAAGAACAAGUGCUAGUUGAAUAAGCUGGCACCUUGACGGUACCUAACCAGAAAGCCACGGCUAACUACGUGCCAGCCGCCGCCGUAA
rnacentral:rRNA from 1 species